UCCACCUAUGGAUCUUUUGUUGCUCAGAUAUUACUUUGCCCAAGGGCCAAAGAACUUCUGUCCUAACCAUUAAAGAGGACGGCAAGAAAUGCAAAGUGUAGAAAUUCAGAAUAAAAAAAAGAAAAUGCUACAAAAAUAUAUUUUUGAAGGCGUCUAAAACCUCCCUUGGAACACAUUGCAUUUCAAGUAUAAUAUUUGUAUCAAAUUCUGAAGUGUUGAAUUACAUCUCUAGAUUAUUUAUCCUAUUUUCCAACAGUCAACAACACUUAUCUUAGUUACUCUUGUCAAAGUUAAGUUCGAAUUAAUAAAAUUCAGCAGCUAUUUAAAUGUGUUUCUACUCUGAUACAUCACUAAAUGGAUAUCAAUUGCACAAUUGCAUUUAUUAGUAAAUUUUGUUUUAGAAUUUUUGUUAUAUAAUAAAUGUUACUUUUGUUUUGUAA